rnacentral:rRNA from 1 species
CCUACGGGUGGCAGCAGUGGGGAAUAUUGCACAAUGGGGGAGACCCUGAUGCAGCGACGCCGCGUGAGUGAAGAAGGCAUUCUGUGUUGAAAGCUCUAUCAGCAGGGAAGAAAAUCACGGUACCUGUGUACUCUUCCACGGCUAACUCCGUUCCGGCAGCCGCGGUAAUACGGAGGGGGCAAGCGUUAUCCGGAUUUACUGGGUGUAAUGGGAGCGUAGAUGGCAGUGCAAGUCUGGUGUGAAAGGUUGGGGCUCAACCCCAGGACUGCUGUGGAAACUGUAAGGCUGGAGUGCAGGAGAGGUAAGUGGAAUUCCUAGUGUAGCGGUGAAAUGCGUAGAUAUCAGGAGGAACACCAGUGGCGAAGGCAGCUUACUGGACUGUAACUGACGUUGAGGCUCGAAAGCGUGGGUAGCAAACAGGAUUAGAUACCCUGGUAGUC